rnacentral:misc_RNA from 1 species
GAAUUGCGAUAUCUAGUGUGAAUUGCAGAACGCCGUGAAUCAUCAAGUUUUUGAACGCAUUACGCCUGACCGGCGCCUUUCGCGGGUGUCGGUGGCACGCUGGGUGCAGUGUCGGUUCCUUCCCUCUUAACCGAAACAAAGAUUCGGGUUUAUCUUUGUUUCUGUUGUGGAAUUGAAAGUAGAACAGGCGACUGUUCUUCUUUUGAAAUGGAUUGUUGUCGGUUGUCGGCAGUGGCUGUGUUAGACGCAUGAAUGAGGGUAACUCCAAAAUUGUGUGGCUCCUUCUACUUCGGCAAUUGGUGGCAUUUCACCCAAGUACUGCUAAGGUCUUCCGUAGCAGCUGUGCUUGGGUGUGUUUCCCUAUAUCGGAUUCAUUGAACUGUUUCUUCGACCUGCACUU